rnacentral:rRNA from 1 species
CAGCCGCCACGGUAAUACGUAGGGUGCAAGCGUUAUCCGGAAUUAUUGGGCGUAAAGAGCUCGUAGGCGGUUUGUCGCGUCUGCUGUGAAAACUGGAGGCUCAACCUCCAGCCUGCAGUGGGUACGGGCAGACUAGAGUGCGGUAGGGGAGAUUGGAAUUCCUGGUGUAGCGGUGGAAUGCGCAGAUAUCAGGAGGAACACCGAUGGCGAAGGCAGAUCUCUGGGCCGUAACUGACGCUGAGGAGCGAAAGCAUGGGGAGCGAACAGGAUUAGAGACCCGCGUAGUCCCUGUCUCUUAUAC